rnacentral:lncRNA from 1 species
UCAUCCACCGGGGCCACCCCCACCUUUUCUCAAAUAACUUCAUUCUUAAUCUUAUCUAGCCUGGUGUUACCGCACAUCCACCUAAGCAUCCUCAUUUCCGCAACCUUCAUUCUCUGAACAUGAGAGUUCUUCACGUGCCAGCACUCCGCCCCAUACAACAUCGCAGGUCUAACCACGGCUCUAUAGACUUUCCCCUUGAGUUUGUGUGGAACUUUCUUGUCACACAGGACUCCUGAUGCAAGCCUCCACUUUGACCACCCCGCUCCUGUGCGAUGAGUGACUUCCCCGUCAAUCUCUCCGUUCCCCUGAAUCACAGACCCAAGAUAUCGGACGCUGUCCCACUUGGCGAUGGCCUGAGAACCAAUCAUCACGUCCCUGCCUACUUCGCUC